rnacentral:rRNA from 1 species
AUUGAACGCUGGCGGCAUGCCUUACACAUGCAAGUCGAACGGUAACAGGUCUUCGGAUGCUGACGAGUGGCGAACGGGUGAGUAAUACAUCGGAACGUGCCUAGUAGUGGGGGAUAACUACUCGAAAGAGUGGCUAAUACCGCAUGAGAUCUACGGAUGAAAGCAGGGGAUCGCAAGACCUUGUGCUACUAGAGCGGCCGAUGGCAGAUUAGGUAGUUGGUGGGAUAAAAGCUUACCAAGCCGACGAUCUGUAGCUGGUCUGAGAGGACGAUCAGCCACACUGGGACUGAGACACGGCCCAGACUCCUACGGGAGGCAGCAGUGGGGAAUUUUGGACAAUGGGCGCAAGCCUGAUCCAGCAAUGCCGCGUGCAGGAUGAAGGCCUUCGGGUUGUAAACUGCUUUUGUACGGAACGAAAAGCCCUGGGUUAAUACCCUGGGGUCAUGACGGUACCCACGGAGGAAGGCCCGGCUAACUACGUGCCAGCCGCCGCCGUAAGAC